GGCUUCCCUCGCGGAGGAGGCCACCGCGCCGCUCGGACUACGGUCUCAGCCGCGACCCUAGGACGACCCCGGCGCGCCCAUGGCCGCGCAAUCGCCGCAGCCGGGAUCCUUCUAGACGCUGCCCCCAACAGCCGGUUAGAGCGUGAGCCGCAGAACAGGAGCCUAUCUUCCAGAGAGGAUGUCGCCCAACCCAACCUAAACAAUAACGUAGCUUUGGAGAAGAGAGACAGCACGCUGAGGUCAUUUCCCACAACGUCUGUACCAUAUUUUUAAACUGCCAUGCAGAUGCUUAAGCCAUUUUAAGAUCCUAGUCCCCGGCAGGACGUGGUGACUCACAUCUAUAAUUCCAGCGCUCUUGUGACUGAGGCAGGAGGAUCCGGAGUUGGAGAUCAGCCUGUCUACCUUGUGAGACUCCAUCUCAACACGCGCGCGCGCACAUACACACACACUCAGGCUGGGUAAAUAACAACCUGGGUAAUUGACCCUUAGCUUCUAUCCUACCCUCCAAUAAUCUUCCAAAACCCUUGUAAUGACUUCUCUUACUUUCUUAGCAGGGUUGGUUGUACUUGGGGUGAGGAGUAGUUAUGCUUCCUGGUUCAUUCUUUCCAGUAUCUAAGAACCCUGGGUCCCACUUAUUUAAUGAAUGAAAGAAUGAUGAUAAUCUAGAUAAUAUCAGGUUGGUGCUACUGGGAAAAUAUCGAACUUUGGUAUCUGUAAUGUUUAUGGACAUUCGAUGUUAUGCAAUAAUUGCUUCUUUUAUAGAGUAUACUCAAAAAUACUUUACUGAGUAUUUCUAUUUUUGUUGGUGUCUUCUUGCAGUAUGUUAGAUUCUAAGCUAGUCAAACAAAUACAGCAGAAAACGAA